UGGGAUGUAGCUCAAUGGCAGAGUGCUUGCCUAGCGUAUGCAAGGUUCUGGGUUUAAUCCCAGUAUUGCAA
rnacentral:tRNA from 1 species